GGGGUAGAGACCACCAGGCUCCCACGCUCAGGGGAAUAAGGGCGCUCUCCCGCCCCCCUCCGCCGGAGCUGGCAGUGGUACCGGGGGGGGGGGACUCACCGCGCUGCCCCCGGCUCCCUCGUCCUCGCUCCGCGCGGCGCUGGGCUCGUCCUGCAGUAGCUGCUCCAGGCAGGUGGAGCCGGGCAGAGAGGAGCUCUUCUGGUGGGACAGGACCCCUGCCUCAUUUAGUACACAGGAUGGACCUGCUAUGGGGAUGAAUCUGUGAAGGUUGUGCAGUGAAGAAGAUUCUUGUCUGAAGGGCCACCUCUCAUUUGUUGCAGAGGUUGAAAGAAUUCUUCGUACCUCAGUGGCUUCUCCACUUAAUAUAUGAAAACAUCACUGAAGAGGAGCAUGGUUACAUUGCAAUACGCCACUUUGAAAAUAAACCCCUUUACUGUCGGAUCAUACUGCAAAUCUUCACAUUUAGAGUUCCUUCAGGGCUUCCUCAAAUGGAAUUGCACAGAGUUCUUACUCAUAUGAGGUGAUGACCCCUCUCACCUCCAGUUGAAGUUAAACAUUGUUGUACAGCCAUGCAGAUUCUUCUGUUUCCUCUCACAUCCUAAAAAUAUCUGCCACCUCGAGAGGGGUGAUCAAAAUUAAAAAGAGCCAAGGCCUACUGGUGCAAGGCCUACUGGUGAGAGAUGAAGAACUUGGAGUCAUUUGAAGGAUCGCAUAUGGAAGUGAACUUUUUAUUUGUUAAAGGUUUUAUUUAUUGAUAUUUCAGGUCAUUUAUGUGUUGGGGUUCCCCUGCUCCCAGCCUCUUUGCUUCCCAUAAAUGACUCAGGGAUUCUCCCUUUUGUAGAUACCAUUUUAUAGUUUAUUUACAGUGUUUCACUCAAUCACCUUUUACAAACUAGUGCAGUCUCAGUAUUUACAAUGCUAUUCAGCUUUACUACCCCUUCUACAAAAAGGAGCGGGAGUGGCAGAAAGGUGUCUCCUCCCAGAGAACUCCCUUUUGUGAGGCCCCACUAGACUUCUCCCAUUCCACUUCUCCCCCCAACCUUCUCCUGUGCUCUUUAAUUCAGUUUCCUUGUUAAUGGGUAAUUAGCUCAUUAUAUUUCCAGCCCUAAUCUGUUCUGGAAAUUAGGACCUCCUCUCCUUCAUCAGGAAGGGGGAGGGGGAGCUAACUGAUUAAAGUGCACAGAGUGUUGGUUUAGUGGCUAAUUCCCAGUACUCUGUCACAAUUAACAAUAAAACAUUUCAACUACAGUGUUUUAGGGAGGCAUAGCUCAGUGGUUUGAGCAUUGCUUCCUAAACCCAGGGCUGUGAGCUCAGCCAUUGAGGGGGCCAAAAAUUGGGGAUUGGUCCUGCUUUGAGCAGAGGGUUGGACUAGAUGACCUCCUGAGGUCCCUUCCAACCCUGAGAUUGUAUGACAUAGAAGUACAUACUUAGCUAUAUAAUAAAAUUUCAGGAUUGUCACCUGUCUGUGUAAUGCUGAAGCAUAGAAUCUCUGUUGAAUCAGUGGGAAGUGAUGGAAACAGCUACAAGCAUGACUGAGAACUCUUUAUGCUCAGAAUAUCACCAGGUUCAAUCAUCAGUUGGUAUUUGUUUGAUAUUUUACUGUCCAAUUUUUAAG